rnacentral:rRNA from 1 species
UCGAGGGGCAGCAUGGACCCAGCUUUGCUGGGUUUGAUGGCGACCGGCGCACGGGUGAGUAACGCGUAUCCACCUGCCCUUUACUCCGGGAUAGUCUCCUGAAAGGGAGUUUAAUACCGGAUGUGUUUGUCUUUCCGCAUGGGAGCGACAAAUAAAGAUUAAUUGGUAAAGGAUGGGGAUGCGUCCCAUUAGCUUGUUGGCGGGGUAACGGCCCACCAAGGCGACGAUGGGUAGGGGUUCUGAGAGGAAGGUCCCCCACAUUGGAACUGAGACACGGUCCAAACUCCUACGGGAGGCAGCAGUGAGGAAUAUUGGUCAAUGGGCGGGAGCCUGAACCAGCCAAGUAGCGUGAAGGACGACGGCCCUACGGGUUGUAAACUUCUUUUAUAAGGGAAUAAAGUUCGCCACGUGUGGUGUUUUGUAUGUACCUUAUGAAUAAGCAUCGGCUAAUUCCGUGCCAGCAGCCGCGGUAAUACGGAAGAUGCGAGCGUUAUCCGGAUUUAUUGGGUUUAAAGGGAGCGUAGGCGGGCUUUUAAGUCAGCGGUCAAAUGUCGUGGCUCAACCAUGUCAAGCCGUUGAAACUGUAAGACCUUGAGUCUGCACAGGGCACAUGGAAUUCGUGGUGUAGCGGUGAAAUGCUUAGAUAUCACGAAGAACUCCGAUCGCGAAGGCAUUGUGCCGGGGCAUAACUGACGCUGAGGCUCGAA